AACCUUGUGCUUCUUGGUAUAUAAUUACAUAAAAUGCUCCAGUCUAAGACUAAGAGCAGUGUUAAGAAGAUUCAUCAUAAAUGUUCAAAUUUCAACAGUUACAAAAAAAUUAAAUUCAUGGUUUUGGCUAUAAAUGAUAAAGACUUGAUACAAAGAUCGCAGCUGUCUGAAUUUGGCAGUAAAUGUUCUUCCAUUUUCAACAUGAAUACUGUCUACUAUUAGAUAAUGCUCCAGCACUCAACCCUAAUUUCCACACAGUAUUAAAUAUAGAUUUAUGUGUAGACUGAGAAAGGAUGGAUUUUGUCUACCUGAAAAUGAAGCCAGCAUAAUCACUGUAACUCACUGUGGAGCCUGAUCUGUAUCCUAGGUCACUCCAUCUGCGUUGCUCAGGCUCAGACUUGCCUGUAUGAGAAACCCGCCUUUCUGAACAAGCUGCACAAGAUGACACACCAGACAAGUUGCAGCUCUUGUGACCUCAAUACAAAGUGAUGGGAAACCUCAGUGUUGCUUCUAAACAAAAAUUUCAUCCUUGACUAAGACGUGCAAAAUGAGGACAUGAAGCUAUGGUGUGUUUCGUAGUUACCAGUAUCACAUCACUUACAGGUCGAAGUCUAUAGCAUCAUCAGCAUACAAAAGGUUAGUCAGCCCUUUCAUGAACAUAUUAUCAUUUUCAUAUUUCACAAAUUCACAAGAAAUUUGGGAAAGGCUCACACAGAAUGGGGCAAUUCGCUCACUGAGACUGAAAUACCACUGCAGCUGAGGAUGUUCAGCUGCUACUGAGAAGAAUCGAAUGUUUGGAAAGGACCUCAAUCCACCUGCUGUCAGAAACUCUGCAUUAUCUGACAGCCUCCUGACUGAUCCAAGCUGCAUUGUUCACGUGUCAGGAGUAAGAAAAAGGUUUCGGAAGAAGAACUGGAGGGCUGCUGGUGAUAGAGUUGUGGCUGGAACUACAGUCCCAGGAAGUUGCAGGGGAGAUUCGCCAGGAAAAGGUUUUCCUCAUUCCAGAAAGACAUAUGACUAAUAGACUUGCACGUGAAGUCUUCAAAGAGAUCACUCUUAAAAUUAAAGGCAGGAGAUCAUAGGCCAAGUAUUUUGAAAAUCCAGGAAUCUCCUUUUCCUGUGCACUGCCCCAAGGCAGAGCUCUGGAUGCACCUAAUUUUAUGCUUGACAGCACAUUGUACAACUGCUUGGACUGGGAAAGCUGAACUGCCAAAUGCAAGAACUUCUGGUUUCAUCAUGUUAAAGAACUGAGAAGAGUACCAAUUUGAGAUGGAUGUCCUGUGCCCAGUACUAUGCCCAGAAGUGAAGUUUCCAAGGCUGACACAUUCAUUCUGCUGCCAAUCUGAUCAGUGCCUGGAGAGGGCUGGCACAGGAUACCUGAAGCAUCCUUCAAGCGCUGCUGGGAAUGUUCCACCAAGGGCACGAGAUGGUUGAGAGCUGGCUGUGGGUGCAGGGGACUUGCAUGGAGGGACCCCCAGUCAUCUGGUGAAUGAUGGCUACUGUGAGACCUCAGGCUGUAGUGGAGACCAAGUUUCUGCUCAGAAGACUUUCCACCAGAUCCUGGGGGUGCAGGAAGAGACACCUGAUCUUUGGAACAAUCUUAAACUUCAGUGAGAAAUAAGCACUAGUACGUGUUCACCCUGAAGGAAAGACUGCCAUUUGAAAAUGCUCUGAAGAAUCAUUUUGCUACCCUCACAAGAAAGACAUCAGCACUGCAUCCCAAGGAAAAGCAAACGCAGAGCAGGCGUCUGCCCAGGAGCCCUCACUGGGGGGGGAUCCCCAGCAGCUAGAAACCAUUAGAGCCUCUACUCCAGCAGUCACUUUAUUAAUUGAUGUUGGUUUUCCUGUGCAUGAUGCACAGACGGCACAAAAGUUGGGGAACAGUAAUUAUUGGAAUAAACCGACCA